UAUAUAUGGUUAUAGAAAAAUAUCAGUAAAUGAAAAAUUUGCAAAUAAAAGACUUUGAUUUCAUUUUUUAUCAGAGCAAAACAUUAAUAAUUAGCCACUUCGGACAUGUCUGUAAAAUAAAACAAAACAAACGAGACAAUAAACAAACAAAUACAAAUACUGUAACUGCAAGAAAAUAUACUUACAAUAAAAUGCUGUAGUUA
rnacentral:lncRNA from 1 species